rnacentral:rRNA from 1 species
CAAGUCGAGCGGUAACAGAAAGUAGCUUGCUAUUUUGCUGACGAGCGGCGGACGGGUGAGUAAUGCUUGGGAACAUACCUUGAGGUGGGGGACAACAGUUGGAAACGACUGCUAAUACCGCAUAAUGUCUACGGACCAAAGGGGGCUUAGGCUCUCGCCUUUAGAUUGGCCCAAGUGGGAUUAGCUAGUUGGUGAGGUAAUGGCUCACCAAGGCAACGAUCCCUAGCUGGUUUGAGAGGAUGAUCAGCCACACUGGGACUGAGACACGGCCCAGACUCCUACGGGAGGCAGCAGUGGGGAAUAUUGCACAAUGGGCGCAAGCCUGAUGCAGCCAUGCCGCGUGUGUGAAGAAGGCCUUCGGGUUGUAAAGCACUUUCAGUCAGGAGGAAAGGUUAGUAGUUAAUACCUGCUAGCUGUGACGUUACUGACAGAAGAAGCACCGGCUAACUCCGUGCCAGCAGCCGCGGUAAUACGGAGGGUGCGAGCGUUAAUCGGAAUUACUGGGCGUAAAGCGUACGCAGGCGGUUUGUUAAGCGAGAUGUGAAAGCCCCGGGCUCAACCUGGGAACUGCAUUUCGAACUGGCAAACUAGAGUGUGAUAGAGGGUGGUAGAAUUUCAGGUGUAGCGGUGAAAUGCGUAGAGAUCUGAAG